CAAUCCUGUGUAAAUGAAAGUAGUGAAUUUAGUUAGCGACCAACGUCGUUGGUCAAACGCGGGUAGUUGGUGCACUGGCUACAUAUAGUUACCUCCACUGGUCUCAAAGAAGAAAUUAAUGAAUUGAGAUGAAUUGCGUGGAUGUGGCCCACUAUGCACUACUCACUGAUGCGAAAAUGAAGAGAUUUGAACCGUAAGUAACAUGCACUUGUACCUUCAGUAUCACAUUGAUAAUUAUCAUCUGUAAGCGCCUCAAAAGCACUCUCCGCAGCAAUAAUUCCACUUUUCAUUGCAUUGUGAGUACCUUUGACUUUAGGCACGUUCAUAAAACCAGGACUACAACCAAUCAAAGCCCCACCUGGGAAUGCCAGUUCAGGGAUACUCUACAAUGAAGAAAACCACAACAUGUAUGUUGUAUGCAUGUCAUAUCGCAUUACGGCUAUGUGCAACAGCAGCCAGCAUCAAUUCCGUGCUUGGUCCUCGAGGCGCUGAAAUAGACAAAACACAGACUAUGAUGAAUCUUCUUUCAACAAAUGGUUCCGCCAUUACGCCAAAUUGGAUUGUCUCCAAUUUUACAGAAAUUACCGAGUCAAAGUAUUACUCGAAAGAAAACAAAAUUGUAACAUUUUUGGUAAACCUGAAAUUCUUUAAAUGGGCUAAUGUAUGGAUUGGAGUAGUCCAAGCCGACCUAGAACAAAAGGAGUGAAACGGGCAUACGAAAGUUUUCAAAGAGGCCUUACAACAUAUCCAAUGGAGACGAGCGGUCCUUCAUCCAAAUGUAUCCACCCUACCAGAAUUGUAAUAAAAAACUGGUGGUCGAAAGAGGAUGAACGUGGAUGACAUACCGCAGGCCAGCCACAAGUGUGCUCUACCAAACCUGGUUGGUGAUUUGCGGGAUCAAUUUCCCAAAGCUAAAAACAAAGUAACUUGUAACAAAGUAACUAUGAGGAAGCACGAGAUACAUUAUGUACCAUCACCAUAAUUUGAAUUUCGCGGACAGCCUGUGUGAGAAGCAGUAUGAUACGGUAAAAAUAUACCUCUUUCAAUCCAAUUCCGUACGUCUGAUGUUGGCAGUUUUUACGCAGAUCAAAUUUUGAGAACAAUGUCUUAGCGAGAUGGCCAUGACAACCUUCGCCAAAUAACGUCAAUUUCGCAUGAAACUCCAUUCCACGCUCGAAAUUGCCCUUAAAUAGUAAAAUUAGCUCAUUAGGCAUGAGUACAUUAAGCUCAGCGAAUUUAACAAGGCUGUAAUU